rnacentral:rRNA from 1 species
GAUGAACGCUGGCGGCGUGCCUAAUACAUGCAAGUCGAGCGAACAGACGAGGAGCUUGCUCCUUCGACGUUAGCGGCGGACGGGUGAGUAACACGUAGGUAACCUACCUAUAAGACUGGGAUAACUUCGGGAAACCGGAGCUAAUACCGGAUAAUAUUUCGAACCGCAUGGUUCGAUAGUGAAAGAUGGCUUUGCUAUCACUUAUAGAUGGACCUGCGCCGUAUUAGCUAGUUGGUAAGGUAACGGCUUACCAAGGCAACGAUACGUAGCCGACCUGAGAGGGUGAUCGGCCACACUGGAACUGAGACACGGUCCAGACUCAUACGGGAGGCAGCAGUAGGGAAUCUUCCGCAAUGGGCGAAAGCCUGACGGAGCAACGCCGCGUGAGUGAAGAAGGUCUUCGGAUCGUAAAACGAUGUUAUGAGGGAAGAACAAACGUGUAAGUAACUGUGCACGUCUUGACGGUACCUAAGCAGAAAGCCACGGCUAACUACGU